rnacentral:rRNA from 1 species
CCCUUAGAUGUUCUGGGCCGCACGCGCGCUACACUGACGAAUUCAACGAGUUUACAACCUUUGCUGGGAGGCAUGGGUAAUCUUGUGAACGUUCGUCGUGAUGGGGAUAGAUUAUUGCAAUUGUUAAUCUUCAACGAGGAAUUCCUAGUAAACGCAAGUCAUCAGCUUGCAUUGAUUACGUCCCUGCCCUUUGUACACACCGCCCGUCGCACCUACCGAUUGAAUGGUCCGGUGAAUUCUUCGGACUGCGGCUUUGACUCGAUUUCGGUCGAGGCGUUGCUGCGGGAAGUUGAUUAAACCUUACCAUUUAGAGGAAGGUGAAGUCGUAACA